GUACAAGUCAUUUUAUGAAUUUAUUUCGUGCGAAAACAUGAAUUGUACACGUUGGUUGAUGAUUUUCGGAGUUGUGGCGCUGGUUGAGGUGGAACCAAAGCAUUUAUCUGAUUUUAUAUCUAUAUCUGCGCCUCAUCAGAAGCGGCGUGAUUUUUCAGUGAUAAACUAAAAAAUAAGGAUGUGGAGAGUAUCGAUGAUUUAGUUUCGCCCGAUCUGCAUCUUAAAACGCACGGGAGUUUUAUUCGCGUACGGCGACAGGCAGAUGAUGAAGAGAACGGAAAUGCCGAUUUCAGUCCAGCUGAUUUUCAAAAAUUCAACAGAGAUGAAGGAGCAGAAGAGGAGCAAGAUGGGGAUGAAGCCAGGGAAGAAACAGCAGAUGAUGUGCCUUUGAAUUCAAAAGAACAAGCAGAAGAUGCACCAGAAACAGAAGAAAAGAAAAAUGAAGAAAAGGAAAAAGAAGAAGAAAAAAGAAGAAGAACCUCAAGUAGAGGAAACAGAAAAAUCAACAGAUGAAUCCUCUGAAUCUCCAAAAACUUUCGGUGAUUAUGUCCCGAUUAAAAAAGAAGUCGACUAUGAAUCUAUUUACGUUCUCGCCGGAUUAUCAGGUGAUGAAAAAAAUCAUUUAGCAGAGGAACUAGCUGAAAAACUGUUCAAUGAAAACUUUGAAGUGUCAACUGAAGCACCAAAAAGUGGAGAAGAGCAAUCUGGAGAACCCGAAGAAGAUCGAUGAGUGUACAAACCAAUAAAAAGAUAAAAAUGUUAUCAAAUACAUAAAGUAAUAAAACCCAUUCAACAAAUAAACAA